rnacentral:lncRNA from 1 species
GAUAGACUCAUUCCUAGAGUGGGAAUGCUGGAGCUACCACUGGCACUUAGGCGGCACAAGCCGGACUACACCCGUGUAGAUCCUGAAUGAGAUUGAACCAGAAUACUAAACAACAAGUUGACAUCCACGACUAGCUAGGUUAUAGCAGUUGGACUCUUAAUAUGCUAUGGCAUAGGGUUGGACAUUUGGGUAAUUAGUGUACAUGACAUUAUCGCUUAUUGCAUUGUAGUACACUUUGUUGCCAUGAUAGUACAUACUAGUUAUGUAGUUGGCUUUGGGACAUAUAUCAUACUCAUAGUAUUACUUGCUGCAUUAUAGCAUACUUGUUUAAGUAUUGGCAUACUGGAUCAUGUAGAGUAGACGUACUCCAUGUUGACAUUCUACAUACUUGUGGCAUUGUAGAGUAGCAUCUUAUUAUUAUGCUUCAUAUACCACAGUUAAUUUCUAUUAUCUUUAUCUGCUCUCUUUUGGGCCUAGUGGUGCAGUUGGUGCAGGUCAGUAAUUGCCCACUAGGAACUAUAAAUUAUAGUUCUCAUACCCUCUGUUUUAUGUUUUCUUUCAGAGCCUUCCACUCCGGGAGAGGCUCGGGA